rnacentral:tRNA from 2 species
GCGCAUGUGGCGUAAUUGGUAGCCGCGUUAGACUUAGGAUCUAAUGACUCAGGUCGUGGGGGUUCGAGUCCCUUCAUGCGCACAA